UACGGGGGGAGCAAGCGUUGUUCGGAUUUACUGGGCGUAAAGGGCGCGUAGGCGGCCACCGCAAGUCGACUGUGAAAUCUCCGGGCUUAACCCGGAAAGGUCAGCCGAUACUGCGGGGCUAGAGUGCAGAAGGGGGCAACUGGAAUUCUCGGUGUAGCGGUGAAAUGCGUAGAUAUCGAGAGGAACACCUGCGGCGAAGGCGGGUUGCUGGGCUGACACGUGACGCUGAGGCGCGAAAGCGUGGGGAGCAAACAGG
rnacentral:rRNA from 1 species